rnacentral:rRNA from 1 species
UCCGUAGGUGAACCUGCGGAGGGAUCAUUACCGAGUUUACAACUCCCAAACCCCUGUGAACAUACCUUAAUGUUGCCUCGGCGGAUCAGCCCGCGCCCCGUAAAACGGGACGGCCCGCCAGAGGACCCAAACUCUAAUGUUUCUUAUUGUAACUUCUGAGUAAAACAAACAAAUAAAUCAAAGCUUUCAACAACGGAUCUCUUGGUUCUGGCAUCGAUGAAGAACGCAGCAAAAUGCGAUAAGUAAUGUGAAUUGCAGAAUUCAGUGAAUCAUCGAAUCUUUGAACGCACAUUGCGCCCGCUGGUAUUCCGGCGGGCAUGCCUGUUCGAGCGUCAUUUCAACCCUCAAGCCCCCGGGUUUGGUGUUGGGGAUCGGCUCUGCCUUCUGGCGGUGCCGCCCCCGAAAUACAUUGGCGGUCUCGCUGCAGCCUCCAUUGCGUAGUAGCUAACACCUCGCAACUGGAACGCGGCGCGGCCAUGCCGUAAAACCCCAACUUCUGAAUGUUGACCUCGGAUCAGGUAGGAAUACCCGCUGAACUUAAGCAUAUCAAUAAGCGGAGGA